UGUGAUUUGAUUGACUGACCAAUCAAAUGCUUUUGCCACUGUGAGGCAUAGGCUGUGCUUCUGCUGCAUUUUCUUCCUCCACUGCUGGAAAAAAAUAAUGAUGGAAGUGUUUGCUUUUUCUGUGGGAGUCUCAGCUAAAGUCCUAUUGUUCAAAGAACCCUGCAGUAUGCCUUAAGACAAGGUGUGGACUGUUUGUAGGAGGUGUGCCACAAUGCUGGAACCAGGAGUAGUGACAUUCCUUGACCAUGGCAGGUUGCCUGAUCCUGUUGGUUUCCUGAUUGUAGUAGUUUCCUGAUCUUAAAGUCUUAUUAACUAUUAAGGUUCUGGAACUGGAGGAUCCCUGAUUAUGGAAGAUUCAGCAGCUCCCUUGGUGCCUAUGUUAGUUUGCCAGGGCUUCCCUAACAAACUGGGGAAGCUUAAGACAACAUAAAUGUAUUCUUUCACAAUUCUGCAGGCUACAAGUUCAAAAUCAGGUUAUCAGUAGAGCCAUGCUCUAUCUGAAGGCUCUAGGACCAAUCCUUCCCUGCCUUUUCUAGUUUCUGGGGGUUGCUGGCAAUCCUUGGCAUUCCUUGGUUUAUAGAGGCAUCACUCCAAUCUCUGCCUCCAGCUUCAAAUGUCCUUUUUUCAUGUGUCAGUGUCUCUUCUGUCAGUGUCCUUUUAAGGACACUAGACAUUGGAUUAAGGCCCACCUUAAUCGAGUACAACCUCAUCUUAACUUGAUUACAUCUGCAAGAUCCUAUUUCCAAAUAAGGUCACAUUUACAGGUUUCAGGUAAACAUGACUUUUGGGGGGAUAGUAUUCAACCCAGUAUAGUGCCUCAACUGUGAAAUGUAGCUGUGGCAAUCUUUCCUGAAAGUUCAAUCCAGACUCAGUCCCUUUAUCCCUCCUCCAAAAUCUGAAAGUCUUUUAAUAUCCUGUAAACUAGCUAGAGUGGAUUCUAUUCUUCGCAAAUGAACUCAGACAAUAUAUUUUUGUACAUUUUUUCCUUAAGUGUUCCACUGAAGGUUUUUUUUUUUAAUCACAGGUGUCAGUAAAAGAAAAUUCUUCCAAUUUGAAACCUAAAUCUUUCAUACUCAGUCCUUUGAAAUCUCAAGAGUUUCAUUUUUAAUUGCUACUUUGGGGUCCAUUGACAAAGUCCUAAUCAGAUACAGAUGUGGGGAAGAGAACCAGAAUUUUUUUUUUUUUUUUUUUUUUUUUGCGGUACGCGGACCUCUCACUGUUGUGGCCUUUCCCGUUGCAGAGCACAGGCUCCGGACGCGCAGGCUCAGCGGCCACGGCUCAUGGGCCCAGCCGCUCUGCGGUGUGUGGGAUCUUCCCGCACCGGGGCACGAACCCGUGUCCCCUGCAUCGGCAGGCGGGCUCCCAACCACUGUGCCACCAGGGAAGCCCGAGAACCAGGAUUUUUUGAGAGACUACUAUAUGACAGAGACUUUAUUAGUUAAUUAGGCACUACAAUUUGUUAUCUGAAUUUAACAGAAAAGAAAACUGAGGCCCAGGUAAGAGGCAUAACUUUAAUAAUACUUUGCAGCAAAUAAGUGGGAGUCUAAUAAAUUAAACAAUAAUGUUUUUUUUCUAUAAUUCUAUUGUUCCAUGAAGUACUUUAUUGGAGAGGGAAAGGGUAGUUGAAGGAUUUUAAGUGUCCCUGAUUGUUAGAUUAACAUGGCAUAAAUAAUAUAAUUAUCCAGCAAUGGAACCAACUUAAAAUAAGAACUUCUAAAUCUAAGAGAGUAUUGUUUCCUCCAAAUAAGUCACAUUGGGAGCUAUGUAGUGAUUUCAAGUAUUGCCCCAAGUAUUUUGAAUGUUUUCUGUUGGAAUUGCCAUUAGAACUGAAGUCACUGUCUUUUGAAUAUCCUCAAUGGCAAGUUUUCUUUCCUUUUUGGGUUGCUUUUUCCCUUUUAGAAUGGCACUGAUUUUAAAGACUAGUCAAAGGUUGUCCAGAGCAAAGUGUAGUAAAUAAAAUGGAUGAUCAAGCAGUGAUUUGUGCAGUGUACAAUACCACAGAUGUUUUAGAAUUUCUGCAUAAUAAGCUUGCCUGACCGUUUGACCUUGUAGAUUAACUCGGCAUGGACAAUACCAUUUAUGUUGAUGAAACAAAUUAACAUUGUCUUCAUUUGUGAUUCAGGCAGGCAUACUUUCUUAGAUCUUUGGUUUCUUGGACUUUUCCAUUCAAGAUUUUGGCAUCUUCUUUUCAGGUGAUACUUGAAAUAUCAAGUUUCCUUAGGUUUCUAUUGUUCUCAGAAACACGUUACUUUGUCCAACUUCUCUUGAAAGGUUAGAAUAAAUGUCAAGUCUUCUGUGUUUCUGUUCAUCACUCCAAAUACAUGGCAGUCUUCACAGCACCCCUGCUUUGGCUCAGAUUUUCUUUUGGAAUGAAGCUAUUUUUUUUUUUUUUUUUUUUGCGGUACGUGGGCCUCUCACUGUUGUGGCCUCUCCCGUUGCGGAGCACAGGCUCCGGACGCGCAGUCUCAGCGGCCAUGGCUCACGGGCCCAGCCGCUCUGCGGCAUGUGGGAUCCUCCCGGACCGGGCCACGAACCCGUGUCCCCUGCAUCGGCAGGCGGACUCUCAACCACUGCGCCACCAGGGAAGCCCUGGAAUGAAGCUAUUUAAUGCUUCUUAAACACACGAAAAGAUGCUCAGCAUCCUCCGAAUGAGAGAAACAAAAUUAAAGCUGCAAUCACACUUUAUCCACCUACCAGUGGGCAAAGAUCAAGAAGUUUAAUAACCACAGUAUACUGCAAAAAAAACUUUCAUAAAUUGUCAGCCAGAGUGUACAACCCCUAUGGUAUGUAAUUUGUCAAUAUCCUUCCGAGUUAAAAAUGCACAUACCCUUUGAUGUAGCAAUCCUAAUUCUAGGAAAUAUCCCAUAGGUGUACUUAGACACAUGCAAUAUCAUACAUAUACAUGUUAUUCACAGCAAACUUAUAACAGCAAAAGAGAGCAAAAAUAGAGGUUUGGUUAAAUCAGUCAUGGCACAUCCAUGCAGUGGAAUAUUAAUUAGCUCUCAAGAAUUAUUAUGAAAUAUUCUAAAUCUUGCUUUGAGAGAUGGAUACACCCUUGUAUUCAAUUCUCCAAAUGUAUGAAAAUGAAUCUUAGCAUUUUACUAAGUGCAAAUUUUACCCCAGUAUAAAAAGAAACAUGGAUAGAGUAGAGCUAGGUUUAAAAAAAAAAAAAAAAUUAGGACUCCAUGACACCUUUUCCAAGACAUUUGCUAAAGUAAAAAAAUGGGACUAUGGAUCAGUAUGUAUGUUAUUAUUAGUAUAGAAAACAACAUAUAAAUAUGGUUGCAUAUGCAUGGGAUGUCUCUUGAAGGAUGUAAGAACAAGGUAAUAGUAGUUGCUUCUAGGAAAGAGAACCACAUGGGUGAAAGAUAAAGGCAGGAGGGAGAUACAGUUUUCACUUUAUACCCUUCCUACUUUCAAUUUUUAUAACUUGUACAUCCACUUAUGUAUUCAAAAGGAAAAAAAAUUUUAAUGAAGCACUUUCAUAAUCUAAAUUUGUCAUCAGCCACUAUUCCCAUGAUUAAUUGCUUAUCUGAAAGAAAAAACCUGUCAAUAGAUACAUGAACUCUUUGCGCUUCUACUGUGCUACUGUUUUCCACCUCACAAUAAACAUUCUUGCUAUCUUUGCAAAAAAUGUUUGUCCCAAUAAAAUAAUAUUUUCUUGACAUGAUAUUACCUCCAUAAGCUCUUUCUUUCAGUAGAGCGAGUACCUCAUUUGCUGAAUUAAAUCCAUCUGUGGCAGUAGCUGGGCAACACAAAAUGGGCCAUGCAUUUUCAUGAGAAAGGAAAAAAUAAUGGCCUUUCUUUAUGCACACAGCUGGUUAUGGCAAUGAUCGGCUUCCUUUGACAGCCCAGUCACGGGAACACAAAGUGGAACAACGGAUUUGAAGACUACUUGACUGAACUAUCUGCUUCACUGAGCUGUGAAAUACUGUCAUAUAGCUUCUACUUGAUUUGGAGACCAAACUAAUAAAUUAUUUAUAUUGAUUAUUCAAAUUAACGGUUACUUUAGCAUUUUUAAAACACAGAUUAACAACAGCCAUCGUUCACAGAGUAUUGUUGCGGGUGCAUAAAGGUAGUUUUGGAAUUAAUAUUUAUAAUAUUUGGAUGGAGGAAUACAGGCACAUAUGGAAUAUUUGUCUCUUAACUCAAAAUUACCAAAAAUUGAUGCUUGAAGAAAGAACACUCCACUCUUAGUGAUUGUCUCCUGGCUAUCUACAGCCUUACCUUCUGGCUUUAAAUGGUCUCAAACUGCAUAGUACCUCCGUAGGCAUUUUUAAUUAAAAUAAAAUUGAAAUUUAAUUUAAUUAAUAAAAUUUUGUUUAAAAGUUUUAAUGUAAUAAUAGCGAAUAUGCCUUGUCAAGCGAUAGAGGAAUAUAGUGCUGAGUUUAAGUUUUAGCCUUUGGAGUUAGAGCAUGUUUGAAUCCUGGUUCUGCUGCAGAUAAACUGAGAUUAGGGUUCGGUUUGUUAUUUAACCAUCAUGACCUUCAAUUUCUCCAUCUAUAAAAAUGCACAUAAUGUGAUCUACCUCAGCAGGUUGUAGGUGAAGAUCAGUCAGGAGAAUGUAUCUAAAAAUGCUUAGUGCAAUGUAUCCAUAAACUAUAGCUAUUGUUAUUGUUGUAAAAGGAAAUGCUUUGAAUCAUAGACAUUCCUGAAAAUUAUCCUGAAGGAGUAUAUUAUGAUCCAAUGUUAUCUUUGUUAUGAGGAUUGAAUUCUAUUCCUUCACUCAGUGAUUCAUUCACAUGUGGGGUUCUGAAAGAGAAAGUCAUACCAAAGUCUUCUUUAUAGCAAAGGAAAAAAAAUUUCUUUGUAUCAAGAAAAAAGCUUCUGUGGGACUUCCCUGGUGGUCCAAUGGUUAAGACUCUACGCUCCCAAUGGAGGGGGGCUGAGUUCAAUCCCUGGUCAGGGAACUAGAUCCUGUAUGCCAUAACUAAAAGAUCCCACAUGCCGCAACUAAGACCAGGUGCAGCCAAAUAAAUAAAUUAAUUAAAAGUAUUUUUUAAAAAAAGAAAAAAGCUUUUGUGGAUUAACCUGAUUAACUUAUAGUAAGAAUAGUUUUUCGAGACAUCAUUUUUUAAAAAUUUAUGUUAUUGAAGUAUAGUAAGUCCCCUACAUAUGAACGAGUUCCAUUCGAGAGUGCGUUUGUAAGUCCAAUUUGUUCAUAAGUCCAACAAAGUUAGCCUGGGUACCCAUCUAACACAAUCAGCUAUAUAGUACUGUACUGUAAUAGGUUUAUAAUACUUUUCACACAAAUAAUACAUAAAAAACAAACACAAAAAAUAAAGAACAUUUUUAAUCUUACAGUAUACUACCUUGAAAAGUACAGUAAUACAGUACAACAGCUGGCAUACAGGGGCUGGCAUCAAGUGAACAGGCAUGAAGAGUUACUGACUGGUGGAGGGAGAGGAGGUGGGAUGUGGUAGAGCUGAAAGAUCGUCAGCAAUAGGAGACGGAGGGCAAGCUGCAAUUUCACUCACACCUGACGUUGAUAGAAUGAAUGUUUACAUCUUUGAAAGUUUGCAACUUAAAGGUUCGUAUGUAGGGGACUUACUGUAUAGUGAUUUACAAUGUUGUGUUAGUUUCUGGUGUACAACAAAAUGACUCAGUUAUAUAUAUAUAUAUAUAUAUAUAUAUUCUUUUUCGUAUUCUUUUCCAUUAUGGUUUACUACAAGAUAUUGAGUAUAGUUCCCUGUGCUAUACAGUAGGACCUUGUUGUUUAUCCAUCCUGUAUAUAAUUGUUUGCAUCUGCUAAACCCAAACUCCCAACCAUCCCUCCCCCGCCCCCACCCCCCACCCACCCCGACCUUGGCAACCACAAGUCUGUUCUCUAUGUCUGUGAGUCUGUUUCUGUUUUCUGGAUAAGUUCAUUUGUGUCACAUUUUAGAUUCUACAUAUAAGGAUAUGUAAAUACUAAAUAGCAUAUAGUAUUUGUCUUUCUCUGUCUGACUUACUUCACUUAGUAUGAUAAUCUCUAUGUCCAUCCAUGUUGCUGCAAAUGGCAUUAUUUCAUUCUUUUUUAUGGCUGAGUAGUAUUCCAUUUUAUAUAUGUUCCACAUCUUCUUUAUCAUUCGUCUGUCAAUGGACAUUUAGGUUGUUUCCAUGUCAAGGCAUCAUUUUUGAACCCUUCAUAUAUUUACCACUGUCUGAAGUCAAAGUCAUUUUGAGACGAUUCCUUUCCAUUUUGCUCUUCUCUCCCAGCUUCUGGGGUCUCUCCACCAAACCCAGGCCAUCAGAGAAUGGUUAAAAUAAGACCCUGUGACCCAAUAACUUGAAUGCUCUAGUUUUGGAGUCUUUGAGUCAAAACUACAGUCAUACUCACAUGACCAGUCUCCGUCUCCCAAAAGACAAAUUAUUUGUUGACAUGUCUGUCUGCCCCAUUAGAUGUUGUUUCUUUGAGAGUAAGGGAUGGGGCUCAUCCAUCUUUCCAUCAUUCCACAACUCUAUGCAGAAAGCUUGCACACAGUAGGUACACAGUUUGUUUCUUUAAAAUAAUGUACUGAAUAAUAUUUUAUUCUAACCAUUUCAAUGAAAAUAUUUUUUUAAAUAGUUACUCUUUCAAUCGUUCUUAUUUCAAUUUUCUUAUUACAGAAAGACUUAGUCCUUUUUAAUGAGUAUUUUGCUUUCAUUGUCAUUUGUUAUGUCCAAUUCCAGGAAAGCCACCAGUGACCACUGAGAUUUUUAAAGUUGUCACCUAUCUGGGAGGCCCCCCCCCCCCCGACUCAGGUGUUUUUCUAGUUGUGGCUUUCCUGUGUCACGGUAAUCUUCUCAGAACUAUCACAGUUAUUUUCAACUCUGGUUGCACAUUAGAAUCCCCUCGCUGCCCAGUUUCUAGAUGCAACUUAUUAUUUAGUAGAAUCUAGGUGACACCCAGGCAUGGGAAGUUUUAACAAGCUGGACAGGUGACUCUGAUGUCCAAGCAGGUUGAAAACCACCUGGACCACCUAUGUUUUACUCUUGGGGGGAGGGGCGACCAAAGUCUGCUCACCCUGGUCUAACCUGAGUGUGAGCUCUAUGCCUUUUGAAUCAUGCUAUGCAGAGUCUGCAAAAUUCUGCUCCACUGGUCUGAUGUGGACUAAAAAUGUUUGGCCUGUGCAGUAUUAUUGUCUUAUAAUUGUGAAAUAUUUCAAGCGUACAGAACAGUAGGGUCACUAAUGUAAUAGAAACUCAUGGACCUAUCAUCUAGUCUAACAAAUCUUAUCAUUUUGCUAUAUUUAUUACAGAUUUUUAUUAAAGCAAUAAAACAUUACAGAUGCCAUAGAAGCCCUUUAUGUGCCUCUCCCCUGCCUACCCUCUCAAGGGAUCACCACUACCCAGAAUUUGAAGUUUAUCACUCAGGCCCAUGUUUCACUAUGUAUUUAUUCAAAGACUGUGGUUAGCAUUUUCUUGUUUUGAAACAUUAUGUAUAUGGUAUCAGAUUCUGUGCAGUAUUUUAUAAAGUCAGGCCAAUAUUUAAAAAUGGAAAUAUUUCACAUAAAAUCAGAUUUGUUGGCUUCUCCUAAAACAACCAGAAGAUCUGGCAGCACUGGGCGAGCUUUCUGGCAUGAUGGUAUACCGUGCUGGGCCAACGCUGGUCGGUGUGACACUGUCCCACUGCUCACACUGUGUAGACAUAUGUGCUUGCACCUGGGCUGUGUCUCCUUGGAUGCAGGUCUGGCCCCUGAUACUGAACUUCCUUCCGUCAUGAUUCUUUGCUUUCUUCAAGGCCAUUUCUGCCGUCCUCUCCUAACUGCUUAAUAUAGCAAAGGCAUCUACCUCUCUAGCUGCCUCUAAUAUCUACCUCUCCUUCUGCUGUUUUGUUGCAUUUUAUUUUAUUUUAUUUUUUUGCCAUGCUGUGUGGCUUGUGGGAUCUUAGUUCCCCGACCAGAGAUUGAACCCCUGCCAUGGCAGUGAAAUUGCCGAGUCCUAACCAUUGGACCGUCAUGAAUUCCCUCUUUUGUCUGGUUUUCAUUUUCUUGCUAUUUCCUGCCAUUUCUCUUAGAAUUCUUGCCUUUAGCACCAGUAGGGCAUGGGUUUUUUGGUUUUGAUUUGUAGACUUUGCCAGUCAAUAGUAAGAGAAGUGAUUUAUUUUGAUCAGCAAAUCAACCCAUCAUAUGGCAUCUCUGGGACCUCUGGUUUGGGCUAGUCUCCUUAUUUUAAGUGUUGUUUACAUGUUUCAGUAACUUGGGGGCAGCUGGGGUGCUGGAAGAUUGGACACUGGAUAAAAUGGGAUUGUAUGGGUUAUACAAUUCUUAAGGGCUGGGAUAGUUUUUGUAAGGCCAACUGGCCCGAGGCAGGGGAACGCAAUCAGACUCACAGGUUGCAUCAGACCGAAACUUUCCGGACCACCCAGUUCCAGAAACUGACCAGGAGACUUUCCGGACCACCCAGUUCCAGGAACUGACCUGGGGACUUUUCCACCCGGCCCAGCCUUCCCGCCUUUCGAGGGGCGGGACUAACGGUCCCAAGACUGAUGCAACCGGCACCGGAUAUUGCCACGAUACCCGAAGAGACCACCAAAUAAGGAGUAACCUGCGCCUUCCCGGAUUCACCACACCCCUUUCCCUUCUUCCCCUAUGAAUUCUGCCCAAACCCUCGCCCGGGCGCGCCUUCUCUGGCCCCUUUGUCUCAGACCAGUGAACCUCGCCCGGGAGCGUUCCCAAAUAAAGCUUGUUUAAGCU